GGCCGUGUGGCCUAGUGGUAAGGCGUCGCUCUCCUAAUGGCUUAGGCCUGUGGAAAUAAGCGAAGAUCGCGGUUUCGAAUACCGUCAUGGUCG
rnacentral:tRNA from 1 species